CGCGUAGGCGGUCUGUCCAGUUAGGCGUGAAAGGCCUGGGCUUAACCCAGGAAUGGCGCUUAAUACUGACGGGCUUGAGAUUGGAAGAGGAGAGUGGAAUUCCCAGUGUAGAGGUGAAAUUCGUAGAUAUUGGGAAGAACACCGGUGGCGAAGGCGGCUCUCUGGUCCACAUCUGACGCUGAGGCGCGAAAGCGUGGGGAGCAAACAGGAUUAGAUACCCUGGUAGUCCACGCCGUAAACGAUGAGUGCUAGACGUUGGGGGGCUUGGCUCCUCGGUGUCGCAGCUAACGCGUUAAGCACUCCGCCUGGGGAGUACGGUCGCAAGAUUAAA
rnacentral:rRNA from 1 species